CAUUCGAGUGGCGGACGGGUGAGUAACGCGUGGGUAACCUGCCUUACACAGGGGGAUAACACCUGGAAACAGGUGCUAAUACCGCAUAAGCGCACAGGGCCGCAUGGCCCGGUGUGAAAAACUCCGGUGGUGUAAGAUGGACCCGCGUCUGAUUAGCUUGUUGGCGGGGUAGGGGCCCACCAAGGCGACGAUCAGUAGCCGGCCUGAGAGGGUGGACGGCCACAUUGGGACUGAGACACGGCCCAAACUCCUACGGGAGGCAGCAG
rnacentral:rRNA from 1 species